GGUAUGGCAGCAAUGCCAGAGACCGGCGCACGGGUGCGUAACGCGUAUGCAAUCUGCCUUUCACAGAGGGAUAGCCCAGAGAAAUUUGGAUUAAUACCUCAUAGCAUAAUGAGUUGGCAUCAACACAUUAUUAAAGUCACAACGGUGAAAGAUGAGCAUGCGUCCCAUUAGCUAGUUGGUAAGGUAACGGCUUACCAAGGCGACGAUGGGUAGGGGUCCUGAGAGGGAGAUCCCCCACACUGGUACUGAGACACGGACCAGACUCCUACGGGAGGCAGCAGUGAGGAAUAUUGGUCAAUGGGCGCAAGCCUGAACCAGCCAUGCCGCGUGCAGGAUGACGGUCCUAUGGAUUGUAAACUGCUUUUGUACGGGAAGAAACAGCGAUUCGUGAAUCGCCUUGACGGUACCGUAAGAAUAAGGAUCGGCUAACUCCGUGCCAGCAGCCGCGGUAAUACGGAGGAUCCAAGCGUUAUCCGGAAUCAUUGGGUUUAAAGGGUCCGUAGGCGGUUUUGUAAGUCAGUGGUGAAAGCCCAUCGCUCAACGGUGGAACGGCCAUUGAUACUGCAAGACUUGAAUUAUUAGGAAGUAACUAGAAUAUGUAGUGUAGCGGUGAAAUGCUUAGAGACUACAUGGAAUACCAAUUGCGAAGGCAGGUUACUACUAAUGGAUUGACGCUGAUGGACGAAAGCGUGGGUAGCGAACAGGAUUAGAUACCCUGGUAGUCCACGCCGUAAACGAUGGAUACU
rnacentral:rRNA from 1 species